rnacentral:rRNA from 1 species
GACGAACGCUGGCGGCGUGCCUAAUACAUGCAAGUAGAACGCUGAAGAGAGGAGCUUGCUCUUCUUGGAUGAGUUGCGAACGGGUGAGUAACGCGUAGGUAACCUGCCUUGUAGCGGGGGAUAACUAUUGGAAACGAUAGCUAAUACCGCAUAACAAUGGAUGACACAUGUCAUUUAUUUGAAAGGGGCAAUUGCUCCACUACAAGAUGGACCUGCGUUGUAUUAGCUAGUAGGUGAGGUACGGCUCACCUAGGCGACGAUACAUAGCCGACCUGAGAGGGUGAUCGGCCACACUGGGACUGAGACACGGCCCAGACUCCUACGGGAGGCAGCAGUAGGGAAUCUUCGGCAAUGGGGGCAACCCUGACCGAGCAACGCCGCGUGAGUGAAGAAGGUUUUCGGAUCGUAAAGCUCUGUUGUAAGUCAAGAACGAGUGUGAGAGUGGAAAGUUCACACUGUGACGGUAGCUUACCAGAAAGGGACGGCUAACUACGUGCCAGCAGCCGCGGUAAUACGUAGGUCCCGAGCGUUGUCCGGAUUUAUUGGGCGUAAAGCGAGCGCAGGCGGUUUGAUAAGUCUGAAGUUAAAGGCUGUGGCUCAACCAUAGUUCGCUUUGGAAACUGUCAAACUUGAGUGCAGAAGGGGAGAGUGGAAUUCCAUGUGUAGCGGUGAAAUGCGUAGAUAUAUGGAGGAACACCGGUGGCGAAAGCGGCUCUCUGGUCUGUAACUGACGCUGAGGCUCGAAAGCGUGGGGAGCGAACAGGAUUAGAUACCCUGGUAGUCCACGCCGUAAACGAUGAGUGCUAGGUGUUGGAUCCUUUCCGGGAUUCAGUGCCGCAGCUAACGCAUUAAGCACUCCGCCUGGGGAGCACGACCGCAAGGUUGAAACUCAAAGGAAUUGACGGGGGCCCGCACAAGCGGUGGAGCAUGUGGUUUAAUUCGAAGCAACGCGAAGAACCUUACCAGGUCUUGACAUCCCGAUGCUAUUUCUAGAGAUAGAAAGUUACUUCGGUACAUCGGUGACAGGUGGUGCAUGGUUGUCGUCAGCUCGUGUCGUGAGAUGUUGGGUUAAGUCCCGCAACGAGCGCAACCCCUAUUGUUAGUUGCCAUCAUUCAGUUGGGCACUCUAGCGAGACUGCCGGUAAUAAACCGGAGGAAGGUGGGGAUGACGUCAAAUCAUCAUGCCCCUUAUGACCUGGGCUACACACGUGCUACAAUGGUUGGUACAACGAGUUGCGAGUCGGUGACGGCAAGCUAAUCUCUUAAAGCCAAUCUCAGUUCGGAUUGUAGGCUGCAACUCGCCUACAUGAAGUCGGAAUCGCUAGUAAUCGCGGAUCAGCACGCCGCGGUGAAUACGUUCCCGGGCCU